rnacentral:rRNA from 1 species
GUUCCCCGCUCAGGACGAACGCUGGCGGCGUGCUUAACACAUGCAAGUCGAACGAUGAAGCCCAGCUUGCUGGGUGGAUUAGUGGCGAACGGGUGAGUAACACGUGAGUAACCUGCCCUUGACUCUGGGAUAAGCGCUGGAAACGGCGUCUAAUACCGGAUAUGACAACCGACGGCAUCGUCUGGUUGUGGAAAGAAUUUUGGUCAAGGAUGGACUCGCGGCCUAUCAGCUUGUUGGUGAGGUAAUGGCUCACCAAGGCGACGACGGGUAGCCGGCCUGAGAGGGUGACCGGCCACACUGGGACUGAGACACGGCCCAGACUCCUACGGGAGGCAGCAGUGGGGAAUAUUGCACAAUGGGCGAAAGCCUGAUGCAGCAACGCCGCGUGAGGGACGACGGCCUUCGGGUUGUAAACCUCUUUUAGCAGGGAAGAAGCGAAAGUGACGGACCUGCAGAAAAAGCCCC